rnacentral:lncRNA from 1 species
GGCAUAAGGUAUUUCCAGCUAAGGGCAGUGCUCAGCGACAUUUGAUGUCUGAGUCACUGAUGACCUUUGCUCUUCAGAUUUCCAGCUUGUUGGCUGCUUCAUGGGCUGGGCCCAAGGGGCUCAGUUACUGACACCAUCAGGAAAGGGCUCUCAGGGAAACAUGCUGAAAGCUAUUUCCAUUUAUUUGUAUUUGCUGCCUUUGACUUUGGACAGUAGCUCAGCUCCUGGGAGAUCUGUGGGGGAUGUAUGUGUUGAGAGUUCUGGGGGUGAGCUGAAGGCCCCGGAUCCUUGAACUAGACCCUGCAGAAAGCGAUGGAUUCAGCCAAGGCCAGGGUUCUGCCUAGGGGCUGAUGGGAGCGUGGCAUCCUGGGACGCUUCCCCAGAGUGGCCACUAGAGGGGGCCCGCUCUCAGCUGCACUCUAGAAGUGAUACCUGGAGGGCAUCCCUAGGUUGGCCCAUGGUGGAGCAGGUGGGAUGUCAAGCUGGUCCAGGGUAAUAAUGUCUUUCAAACUUGUUAAUUGAAAUCUUACAUGGGGUCCCACAUUCCAGGGACAGUUAGCAGGGAAAACUUUGGGGUGGAGGGGAAGGAGCAGCGUAGAGAGAGGAAAUCUGUCCAUUUGUACACAGACUUCUGCUCAGCCCCUCUCCGCCCCCAUGUUCUUGGCACCGGGCUAGGAGGGAAGCCAUGGACCAGACUCGAGGGGGAGUGGAGAGCAACAUGAUGGUCGGGGAAGAGAGAAGGUGCACAGCAGCUGUGUGUGCACAGCCAUGCGUGGGUGCCUGGAUGAGCCUCUGUCACUGCCCCGGAGGGGAGCUCAGCCUGAUGGGUGGGCUGCACCUCCAGCUGCC